rnacentral:rRNA from 1 species
CCUACGGGAGGCAGCAGUGAGGAAUAUUGGUCAAUGGACGAGAGUCUGAACCAGCCAAGUAGCGUGAAGGAUGACUGCCCUAUGGGUUGUAAACUUCUUUUAUAUGGGAAUAAAACGUUCCACGUGUGGGAUUUUGUAUGUACCAUAUGAAUAAGGAUCGGCUAACUCCGUGCCAGCAGCCGCGGUAAUACGGAGGAUCCGAGCGUUAUCCGGAUUUAUUGGGUUUAAAGGAAGCGUAGGUGGAUUGUUAAGUCAGUUGUGAAAGUUUGCGGCUCAACCGUAAAAUUGCAGUUGAAAAUGGCAGUCUUGAGUACAGUAGAGGUGGGCGGAAUUCGUGGUGUAGCGGUGAAAUGCUUAGAUAUCACGAAGAACUCCGAUUGCGAAGGCAGUUCACUGGACUGCAACUGACACUGAGGCUCGAAAGUGUGGGUAUCAAACAGGAUUAGAUACCCUAGUAGUC